GGCAGCGGUGCCGGGCGUACGCGUGUGUGAGUGGGUCUGUGUUUCUCGGUGCCAGGCUCUCUCCAAGCUUGUGUGUGAAAGCGUGUGGACUGGUUAGCUCGAUUUUAAAACAAUUAUAAAAACAGCAUCAGUAUUAUCAACAUUACUACUGAAUGAUCCAGAAGAGAAAAAAAUGAUAAUAAAAGACAUAUAAAACAAUGCAGUGAAGAGGAAAACGUCCAUGGUAUCACCGAUUUGUGAAAGAAAAGUAAAUCAGUAAGUCCUUUUAGAGAGUGAACAGAAGACAACAUUUGGAAUAAAAUGGAAUAUCCGAAUUAAGAAAUGGAUAAUUGAAUUUGAAUUUUCGAAGCAGCGAACAAGUGCCCGUGACACGACCGGCAAGGCAUGAACAGUGACCAAGUGAAAUUAAAUAAAUAAUAUAUAUAUGUAUACUUUGUUGCUGGUGGAUCGGGUCGUUGGAUUUUCCUCAAGGGAUGACGGUCGGAGAGAGAAGAUAAAAUAAAAUACAAAAAGGUAAGUCUUCGAGAAAAAAAA